rnacentral:lncRNA from 1 species
UUACAAAAGUAUCUAUUUAGCAUUCAAAACCCUUCAUAACCAUCUGCCCCUUCUACCUUUCAGGUCUUCAUUUAUCUUACUUCUUGCUACAUAAUUUUUGAUCCACUUAUACUAUGGAUAAUAUAUAUGUAUAAAUAUAUACAUAUAUAUAUAUAUAUGUAUAUAUAUGUAUCUUCCACUGAAAUGCUGUGAAAGACUCAGAAUUCUUGAGUUUGUGGAAACAGACUUCAAAGUACACUCAUAAAUGCCAGAGGAGAGAAGAGUUGGCCAUACAUAGGCACUGCAAUAAACACUUGCUACACAAAUAAAGGAAAACAGGAUGGUCCCUGGAAAGCAGAGGUGGAAAUUGGGGCUGGGAGAAGGAAAGAAGGAAAGUCUCCUCAAACAGUUCAAAGAUUCAACUUCAUCUUCUUUGGUGGGUUUAAUUCAUGGACUAGAACAGACUGCUUCUUGUAAAGGGAAGACAUACUGUGGAGAGACUGAAUGCAAACUGCCCCUUGCUAGGGGAGCUUUUUCCUGA